rnacentral:rRNA from 1 species
AGGAGAGUUUGAUCCUGGCUCAGGAUGAACGCUAGCGGCAGGCUUAACACAUGCAAGUCGAGGGGCAGCGCGGGGUAGCAAUACUCUGGCGGCGACCGGCGAAAGGGUGAGUAACGCGUGAGCAACGUGCCCGUAUGUGGGGGAUAGUCGAUGGAAACGUCGCGUAAUACCCCGUAACACAUUUCCCCGCAUGAGGAGAUGUUGAAAGAUUUAUUGCAUACGGAUCGGCUCGCGUGCCAUUAGGUAGACGGCGGGGUAACGGCCCACCGUGCCGACGAUGGCUAGGGGUUCUGAGAGGAAGGUCCCCCACAUUGGAACUGAGACACGGUCCAGACUCCUACGGGAGGCAGCAGUGAGGAAUAUUGGACAAUGGCCGGAAGGCUGAUCCAGCCAUGCCGCGUGCGGGAGGACGGCCCUAUGGGUUGUAAACCGCUUUUGCGAGGGAGCAAUAAGAGUCACGUGUGGCUCGAUGAGAGUACCUCGCGAAUAAGCAUCGGCUAACUCCGUGCCAGCAGCCGCGGUAAUACGGAGGAUGCAAGCGUUAUCCGGAUUUAUUGGGUUUAAAGGGUGCGUAGGCGGUUUGCUAAGCGGGAGGUGAAAUGCCGGCGCUCAACGUCGGAAGUGCCUCCCGAACUGGUGGACUGGAAUGACUCUGCCGUGGGAGGAAUGUGUAGUGUAGCGGUGAAAUGCUUAGAGAUUACACAGAACACCGAUUGCGAAGGCAUCUCACGAAGGGUUGAUUGACGCUGAGGCACGAAAGCGUGGGGAUCAAACAGGAUUAGAUACCCUGGUAGUCCCCU